GACGAACGCUGGCGGCGUGCUUAACACAUGCAAGUCGAACGGAAAGGCCCUGCUUUUGUGGGGUGCUCGAGUGGCGAACGGGUGAGUAACACGUGAGUAACCUGCCCUUGACUUUGGGAUAACUUCAGGAAACUGGGGCUAAUACCGGAUAGGAGCUCCUGCUGCAUGGUGGGGGUUGGAAAGGUUCGGCGGUUGGGGCGGGACUCGCGGCGGAUCAGCUUGUUGGGGGGGUAGUGGCUUACCAAGGCUUUGACGGGUAGCCGGCCUGAGAGGGUGACCGGCCACAUGCCCACUGAGAUCCCGCCCAGACUCCUCCUGGAGUCACCAGUGUCUCCUCUUGCACUCUGGGCGGCAGCCUGCUGCCGCACCUCCGCGUGCGGGAUGACGGCCUUCGGGUUGUACCCCGCUUCCGCCUGUGACGAAGCGUUCGUGACGGUAAUGCGUAAAGAAGCACCGGCUAACUACCUG
rnacentral:rRNA from 1 species